ensembl:misc_RNA Metazoa_SRP Metazoan signal recognition particle RNA
GCCGGGCACGGUGGCGGGCGCCUGUAGUCCCAGCUACUUGGGAGGCUGAGGUAGGAAGAUUGCUUGAGCCCAGGAGUUCUGGACUGUAGUGCGCUAUGCUGACUGGGUGUCCACACUGUUUGGCAUCAGUAUGGUGACCUCUUGGGAGCGGGGGACCACCAGGUUGCCUAAGGAGGGGUGAACCAGCCCAGGUUGGAAAUGGAGCAGGUCAAAACUCCUGUGCUGAUCAGUAGUGGGAUCGCGCCUGUGAACUGCACUCCAGCCUAGGCAACAUAGCAAGACCCCAUCUCUA